GUGACAUAUAUCUAGGCAAAUUGCCUAGAAGUGAAUCCCCUCUCCUGCUUAAGUCCUUCCCACAGAGAGCGGUUUGAUAUGUCACUGAAACCAGCAUCCAGGUGGUAUUGCUCCAUAUGCCUGAGACCCUAACAAAAGCCUAAUUACAACUCAUAUGCCUGGAGCCAGGACAUGUGCAGGAUGGUGAUGUAACUUUCCUCUCUGGAAUGGGUCCUGCACAAAGGAAUGAUAGUAACAUAUUGCAAAGCCAGACACACAGCCAUGAUGGUCCAAGUUAUAUUGGGAUUCAGCCAAUAGAAGAUAUUUUGCCUGUCAUCCCUAAGCUUAGGACAAUAGACUCUGCCAAGAGAGGGGAUUAUUACAUAUUGCAGAGCCCAGCACCUAGGUGGAGUGACUCUCAUCUUUUUCUUCUACCCCGUAUAUAGCCAGCUUGGUGACCUACUAUUUGAGUCUAUACCCAGGCCCAGACCACAGAUGAAAUUGUGCAAUAUGUGGAACAAACACCUAAACAAUAUAUAACACCUUCCUUGGCUCUGUCUACAAAGGGCACUUUUAUAUAUCACUGGGACCAUCAACCAGGUGAUGUUAAUUAUCUUCCUGAAACCUGUCUACAAAGAGAGUUGUGUCGUAUACCUAGGCCCGUCAUGUAAGUGAUGUCAGUCCCUUCUACUGCCUUGGCCCUGCACUUACAGUGCAUUGUGACACAUAACAAGGUACUGCACACAGACGAUGUGAUUCUCCUUUUUGGGUUCUGCCAAAAGGAAGCAUUGUAAUAAAUCGCUUGGCUCAGUACCAAGGUGAUGUUUCUUUGCUUUUGCCUGGGCCCUGAUAACAGGGAGAUUGUGAUCUAUUGCUGGGCCCAACAAAAAUGUGAGGUCACUCUCCAGCCGUGGUACUUCACAUAAGCGCCAUUGUGACAUGUAUCUAGGCCAAUUGCCUAGGUGAAGUGAGUUUCCUCUCUUGCCAAAGUCCUGCCCACAGAGGGGGUUUUGAUAUGUCACUGAAAUCAGCAUUCAGGUGAUGUGACUCUUCUGCCAGGGUCCUGCGUACUAGGUGGAUUGUGACAUCUCACUGGACCCGCAACCAUGUAGGUCAUGUGACUUUCAUGCCUUCUCACUGGCCACAGGUGAUGUUGUGCCAUAUAACUGAGACCGUAUCAAAAGCCUAAUAACAAGACGUAUGUCUGGAGCCCCGAUAUGCACAGGAUGGUGAGUCUUAUCGUUCAACUUUUCCACAAGUGUAAUUGUGACAUAUACCUCUGCCCAGCUCCUGAAUUAAUUAUUCUGCCUAGGUAUCGCCCACAAAUGAGAAUUUGACAAAUAACAGAGCCAAGCACCUUGAUGAUUUGACCGCGUUAUCUUAACAAUGUCCUCUGGAGGGAUUGUAACAUAUUUCUGGACCCAUUUUC
rnacentral:lncRNA from 10 species